AGAAAAACGAUGAACAGAAGAGUAGGCAUAGCAAAGAUGUUUCAGCGAGCCGGGGCUGGUGUGAGCCGGUAAUAUCUGAUAUGACCGAAAAUCAUCUGUGAGUUGCAGGCUGAACAAUAGUAAGCCACGCCGGGCCUCCGGAAGGAGGGAACAGUGCCCGUUAUCGCGCUGGGGUAUCGAGCUGUCGCUCCGUACUUUAAUGAGAGAUUGCAGUCGCCUAUGGCUGAUUGCAAUAAUUAGGGUGGUAUCGCGGAUUAACCUCCGUCCCUUAG
rnacentral:ncRNA from 2 species